UUUAAAACACAAAUUUACUUUCCACACUAGGGGGCGACCGAGAAUGGAUGCAAACGUGACUGUUGGUGAAUAGACCCGGAUUCAACGUAUGAGAUUAUUAUGGGUUUCUGAUCCCGUUAAAUAUACCAAUUGUUAUCGACUAUAAGUUAUAUGUAAGGUAUUUUGUUUCAAUUUUCUUCAAGUGUAUUUCAAAAAUGACAACACCUUAGUAAACUAGUCUACAAAUAUGAUGUAUUGAAGAAAAUUAUACAGAAAACUACCCAAUUAUAACAAGUAGAGAAUACGAAAAAUACAAAGACUUUCUAAUUAGGUAUUAUAUAAGCUGUGCAUAUAGGAUGUACUAAUUACUCGUGAUCUUGGCUUUAUUAUAAAUUAUUGUAUAUUGGACAUAUUUCAUAAAUAUGGACGGUGUGUUAUGCUAUAUGCUAUUCAACCUACUAAAUGACUUUUGCUUACGUAGACAUUAAAAUCACAAUUGUAUAGGUAUUGGGUAUCGGGAGUCUAGGUUCAAUACAUAAGCAUCCAUCAACAUGUUCUAGUUGUAAGUCCCCAAUGUCUGUAAACUCGAUGGAACAUCAAAUAGUGCAAUCAGCGGCCAACUGUCACACGAUCCCUAAUGCCAGGCACUUAUAUCUCAAACACUCUAGUCAUCAAGAUGUAUGACGUUGGCCGCUGAUUUCAAGUAUUACGAUUUUCCAUCCUAUCCCGCUCUUCGACCAAAGUGCUGCUUUGUGAUUUGUUAUCAGUGUUUUCAGCACUUUACUCGAAUAUCACUGCAUAAUGGUUCUGAUAAUUUUAGAAAUACAUGCUUCUUGUAUCUUCUUACGGGAUAUUUUUUGGAAUAAAUACUUAUAGCUAUUUUCGUUUAACAUGUUCACAAUUG
rnacentral:lncRNA from 1 species